rnacentral:rRNA from 1 species
CGCGUGGAAGAACUCUCUUUAAGGAACUCUGCAAAAUAGCACCGUAUCUUCGGUAUAAGGUGUGGUUAGCUUUGUAUUAGGAUUUACUCCGAAAGCAAGGAAACUUACAACAAAGAGUCCCUCCCGACUGUUUACCAAAAACACAGCACUCUGCUAACUCGUAAGAGGAUGUAUAGGGUGUGACGCCUGCCCGGUGCUCGAAGGUUAAUUGAUGGGGUUAGCAUUAGCGAAGCUCUUGAUCGAAGCCCGAGUAAACGGCGGCCGUAACUAUAACGGUCCUAAGGUAGCGAAAUUCCUUGUCGGUUAAAUACCGACCUGCAUGAAUGGCGUAACGAGAUGGGAGCUGUCUCAAAGAGGGAUCCAGUGAAAUUGUAGUGGAGGUGAAAAUUCCUCCUACCCGCGGCAAGACGGAAAGACCCCGUGGACCUUUACUACAGCUUGACACUGCUACUUGGAUAAGAAUGUGCAGGAUAGGUGGGAGGCUUUGAGUAUAUGACGCCAGUUGUAUAUGAGCCAUUGUUGAGAUACCACUCUUUCUUAUUUGGGUAGCUAACCAGCUUGAGUUAUCCUCAAGUGGGACAAUGUCUGGUGGGUAGUUUGACUGGGGCGGUCGCCUCCCAAAUAAUAACGGAGGCUUACAAAGGUUGGCUCAGAACGGUUGGAAAUCGUUCGUAGAGUAUAAAGGUAUAAGCCAGCUUAACUGCAAGACAUACAAGUCAAGCAGAGACGAAAGUCGGUCUUAGUGAUCCGGUGGUUCUGUGUGGAAGGGCCAUCGCUCAAAGGAUAAAAGGUACCCCGGGGAUAACAGGCUGAUCUCCCCCAAGAGCUCACAUCGACGGGGAGGUUUGG